rnacentral:lncRNA from 1 species
GGUAUUUUUUCUCUCAUAAUAACAGUAAACAGACUCACAACAAUGUCAAUUUCAAGAAAGCAGACAACAGCUAAUUAGUCAAUAACAGUACAGCAUCAAUGAUCUUGAAUAUAUGCCACUUUUAACUAAAAUAUAAAAGCACAGAACCAGGACAUAGGAGCACAGAACCAGGACCGUUUUUCUUAUCACCAGCACAGCGUCAGGACAAUUCCGUUUAACGAACUUGCACGACUUUUGCAAUAUAAUAUUGUUGUGAUAUACUUUGCAUGGUACUUAUGACACACCAGAGAAAAAUUAAGCAACAAAACAGUCGUUUUAUUGCCGUUCUGAUACAAUGUAAACAAACCCACCAGCAC